rnacentral:rRNA from 1 species
AUUGAACGCUGGCGGCAUGCCUUACACAUGCAAGUCGAACGGUAACGGGCCUUCGGGUGCCGACGAGUGGCGAACGGGUGAGUAAUACAUCGGAACGUGCCCGAUCGUGGGGGAUAACGAGGCGAAAGCUUUGCUAAUACCGCAUACGAUCUACGGAUGAAAGCAGGGGACCGCAAGGCCUUGCGCGGACGGAGCGGCCGAUGGCAGAUUAGGUAGUUGGUGGGAUAUAAGCUUACCAAGCCGACGAUCUGUAGCUGGUCUGAGAGGAUGAUCAGCCACACUGGGACUGAGACACAGCCCAGACUCCUACGGGAGGCAGCAGUGGGGAAUUUUGGACAAUGGGCGCAAGCCUGAUCCAGCCAUGCCGCGUGCAGGAUGAAGGCCUUCGGGUUGUAAACUGCUUUUGUACGGAACGAAAAGCCUUCUUUUAAUACAGGAGGGUCAUGACGGUACCGUAAGAAUAAGCACCGGCUAACUACGUG